AUCAGAGGAUCAGAGGAUCAGAAGAUCAGAGGAUCAGAAGAUCUGAGGAUCAGAAGAUCUGAAGACCAGAAGCUCUGAGGGACCAGAGGCUCUGAAGGUUCAGAAGCUCUGAAGGUCCAGAAGCAGAAGUUACGAAGGUCAGAGGAUCCAAGCAUCCCUCUGACUCUGAUCACCAAGCUUCACAAGUUCCAACACGAAGCAUAACUCUGAUCAGAAGUCAAUGGUUAAAGGCAAAUGUCUCUAUCGAGAAGUACAAGAGCAGUGUACUAUUCUGAAAAGCCUACCUACCAAGGUUCAGCCACAGCAGGUUCUGGAAGUUCCAGAAAUGCCCUCCAACGGUCAUAUUCUCUCAACAGAAAUAUCCUUUGCACCUUGGACUAUAAAAGGCUGAAGAAAAGAAGAAAGCUAGAGAAAAAAAAAGGAGCUGCAAUACAAGAAAAGAUUCAAGCCUCUACUUUCUUCAUCUAUUCUUAUUUGGUUUAAACUCAGCUUAUUUAGAAGCAAACCUUUGUAAACACCAACCUCAAACAGUUGUUUGAUUUUCCUUAAGGGACCGGGUAGGUCAGUAUCCUUAAGAAGACUAAGAGAGUGAAUCUUAGUGGUGAUUCCUUUAGGAGAUCAAGGUUGAUCGGAUCCUAGAGAAGACUAAGAGAGUGAAUCUUAGUGACAGCUAAGUCAGUGUAUUGUUAGUCACUUGUAGGUUUCGAGUGCAGUUGUAACAAUUAUCUGAUUAGUGGAUUGCCUUCAUUCUAAGAAGGAAGAAAUCACCUUAACGGGUGGACUGGAUUAGCUUGAGGGAUUUAUCAAGUGAACCAGGAUAAAAUACUUGUGUGCUUUUCUCUUCUCUCUAUCUUUAUCCGCUGCACCAUCUAUCUCAGAGAAACCGAAAAGAUUUUCUUUAAAUCUUAAAGGGAAAGUUUUUAUAUUCAAAACUCUAUUCAACCCCCCCCCCUUCUAGUCGUUUUUCACACCUUCAAUUGGUAUCAGAGCGCAAGUUCUGAUUACCACACUUAACAGUGUUCAGUAGAUCCGGGCCAGUGUGAAAAACUCAUGGAUUCCACCACUACUACAAGCAAAUAUCAAUAUAGUGCAAGACCACCUAUCUUUGAUGGUCAGAGAUUUGAUUUCUGGAAAGACAGAAUCAAAAGCUUCUUUCUUGGCUUUGAUCCUGAUCUUUGGGAUUUUGUUGUUGAUGGCUACACCCCUCCUGUCGAUGAACAUGGUGUAAAGAUCCCAAGGGAGAAGAUGAGUGAAGAUCAAAAGAAGGAGUUCAGAGAUCAUCACCGAUCAAGAGCUAUUCUGCAAAGUGCCAUUUCAUAUGAAGAAUAUGAGAAAAUUACUGAUCGUGAUUCCGCCAAGGGCAUCUUUGAAUCCUUGAAGAUGUCUCAUGAAGGAAACAAGAAAGUGAAAGAAUCAAAGGCACUGUCUUUGAUCCAGAAAUAUGAAUCCUUCCAAAUGGAACCUGACGAAUCCAUUGAAGAAAUGUUCUCCAGAUUUCAGUUGCUUGUUGCUGGAAUAAAACCCCUCAACAAUAGCUACACCACUGCGGAUCAUGUCAUGAGGAUCCUUAGAGGUCUUCCUGAAAGCUGGAUGCCUUUGAUAACUUCCUUGGAGCUCACAAGAGAUGUUGAGCAGAUGAGUUUGGAAGAACUCAUAAGCAUACUGAAGUGUCAUGAACUAAAGCGUGCUGAACAUCAAGAUCACAAGAAGAAGUCUAUUGCCUUGAAAUCCAAAUCUGAAAAGGCUAAGGCUCUCCAAGCAGCAGCAGAAGAAUCUGAAGAAGCAUCAGAAUAUUCUGAUGAAGAUGAGCUGACUCUUAUAUCCAGAAAGCUCAACUGCAUCUGGAAGCACAGGCAGAGCAAAUUCAAAGGCUCAUCAAAGGACAAAAAGUCAAAGAAGCAUUUCAAGACCAAGAAGAGUCUGAUGGUGACUUUUGAUGAAUCAGAGUCAGAGGAUGUUGACUCUGAUGGUGAAGUUCAAGGACUCAUGGCUAUUGUCAAAGACAAAGGAGCAGAGUCAAAGGAAGCUGUUGACUCUGACUCAGAAUCAGAAGGAGAUCCAGACUCUGACGAUGAAAAUGAGGUAUUUGAUUCUUUCUCAACUUCUGAACUUAAAGAUGCUUUGUCUGAAAUUAUGGAUAAAUAUAACUCUCUCUUGACUAAGCAUAAAAGGUUGAAAAAGAAUUUCUCUGCUGCCUCUGAAACUUCUGUUGAACAUGAGAAAAUUAUUUCUGAUUUGAAAAAUGAUAAUCAUGCUUUGAUCAAUUCUAACUCUGUGCUUAAGAACCAGAUUGCUAAGUUAGAAGAAAUUGUUGCUUGUGAUGCCUCUGAUUGUAGAAAUGAGUCUAAGUAUGAAAAGUCUUUUCAAAGAUUCCUAGCUAAAAGCGUAGACAGAAGCUUAAUGGCUUCAAUGAUCUAUGGCGUAAGCAGAAAUGGAAUAUAUGACAUUGGUCAUUCUAAACCUUCUGAAGUUGCUCCAUCAUCUCUUAAGAAAGGAACUUUCUCAAUGUCAAAAUAUCAUGCUCAAAUUCCUUUACAUUAUCCUGUUGAAAGACCCAAAGUUGUCAGAACUUCUGGGCAAACUAACAAGAAAGGACCCAGAAAGUGGGUACCUAGGGAUAAGAUUAUAUAUGUUGCAGAUAUCUUCAAUAGGUCCAUCGAAACUCCAACCAUGGAACCUGGACAGUGGAUGCAGGCAACACAUGACGAGAGAAAGGCAUAUGUCCCAAGAUCCAAAACUUGAACCUGAAGGUGAAGUUAAUCUUGGAGGCAUCAGUAGAGUAAGAUUUGGUCAAGUCAAAGCCAGCUGAAAAAGCUUGCAGAGAUGAGCAUGACCGUUUCAGAAAGAAACAAAGACUCAGAACUUGUCAAACCAGAAGCAACAACAUCAGAAGAUGCUACUACAACUUCUGACUUGCGUCAUCAGAAGAAGAGUAGUUUCAUAGCUUGUCAUUCUGAAGCAUCUGAAGAUGGAAUUUUUUCCAGAAUGGAGAUGUCACCAGAACCUCUGGACUUUGACACUUCUGCUCUCAUAAGAAGAUAUACUAAUCAGCAGCCAAGUAUCCCUUGGUAUUCCUUCUGAGGGGGAGUAUUUCGUCUUAUGCUCUUACUAUUUUUUUUUCCACCUUCAUUCUUUUUGCUUAUGACAAAAAGGGGGAGAACUUAUAGUAUCUUGACAACUCCUAUAUUAUUUAGCUCAGAAUCUAGAUAUUACUAACGUUGAUAUUAAGUAUUAGAUUCAGGGGGAGCUUAGCUCAGAAUCAAGCACGAGUCUUGGAUUCAGAAGGAGCAAGAUAAACUAUACACAUCAGGAUAAGUUUUAACUCUGAUACCUUAUACUCUGAGUGUAUUCAGUUUAUUUGUUUAGAGUUGUUCAUCAAAAUACAUGGUUUUGUCAUCAUCAAAAAGGGGGAGAUUGUAAGAUCAAGAUUUGGUCAUGUGGUACAACUCUAUGUUUUGAUGAUAACAAGUAUUUAUUUGUGGAUGAACAACUAUGAUACUCUAAUGUUUGUCUUGAGUGUUUUGACAAACAGGUUCUGAUUCUGACACCAGAAGAUAUAUUCGUCAGAAGUUCUGAAGAUCAGAGGAUCUGAGGAUCAGAGGAUCAGAGGAUCAGAAGAUCAGAGGAUCAGAAGAUCUGAAGAUCAGAGGAUCUGAAGAUCAGAGGAUCUGAGGAUCUGAGGAUCAGAGGAUCAGAGGAUCAGAAGAUCAGAGGAUCAGAAGAUCUGAGGAUCAGAAGAUCUGAAGACCAGAAGCUCUGAGGGACCAGAGGCUCUGAAGGUUCAGAAGCUCUGAAGGUCCAGAAGCAGAAGUUACGAAGGUCAGAGGAUCCAAGCAUCCCUCUGACUCUGAUCACCAAGCUUCACAAGUUCCAACACGAAGCAUAACUCUGAUCAG
rnacentral:lncRNA from 1 species